rnacentral:rRNA from 1 species
ACCAACCUACCUUCAGGAGGGGGGCAACCUGGGGAAACCUGGGCUAAUACCGCGUAAUGUCGUCGCCUCGCAUGGGGUGACGACCAAAGAGGGCCUCUGCUUGCAAGCUCUUGCCUGAAGAGGGGGUCGCGACGUAUCAGCUUGUUGGUGAGGUAAUGGCUCACCAAGGCUACGACGCGUAGCGGGUCUGAGAGGAUGGCCCGUCACAUUGGGACUGAGAUACGGCCCAG